CACCAGCUUUGGCCAGCCAAUACCUGCGUCAAGAUGUAAUACAAGCAGAUGUUUGUUUUCUCUAAACCACGUGUAAAUUAAUCUGUAUACUCAUAGAACUGUCCCUUUAAUGGAAAAACUGGUUAAGCAACAAUAGAUUGGUGUGUACCUGCUAUCAAAGGGAUGGAGGCCGGAGGACAGCAGCGAAGAGGAGUUGAGCACGUCAUCUUCCAC